UUCAAAAAAAAAAAAAAACAGCACAAAAUCUAAGCAACCACAAAAAGAGAACUUUUUUAACUAACAGAAAAAUAUCUAGCUGACCCAGCACAGGAAAAGAUUCUCAUCUCUAUGUUAGUAAGGGAUGAUUGAUCAUGUAACCCUCUUUUUGGCUUCAACACUCAUCAGCUGUGAAUUUAUAUUCACUUUAUACUCACUCCAAAUUUAUAUAAAAACAAACACUGAUUACAGCUCUAAGGUUUUUACCUACAUGUGCUAGUCCAAACUACACAUACCACUCAUCUUAUUUCCAUAUAAGACAACUUCACUGUGCAACGUUCUCUCUUCUUUUUCAAACAAACCACAGUUACUGCCCUAAUAACUCCAGUUUGACACUCGGUUUAAAAUAACAACUAGAAGUGGCUAUAUUUAGAGGACAAUCUGGUAUUGGUAUAAAGCCUCUCAUGUUUCCACUCAAGCACACAAGAAUAUCCUUGGCCAGGAAAAAAAUCCCUCUAUGAAAGGUCCUGUAAGAAUUCAAAUGUAAAGCAAUGACUGUAUAGGGACUAGAAAAGCUUAAUUCAUUUGAAUUCCUCCUGCUUGUUGUGAACUUCAACUAAGCUUCUACAAAGCACAGCUUAGAUUAGCACUAACUAGCUAUAUGGAUGCAUAUUCAAAAUGUUAAAGGUCACUCUACUUGAAAUGCUAUAAAACCGCAUCAUAUGAAUAUGCUUAUGAAUAUGAAGCAUUCCUACAGCUACAUGUAAGUUCUAGAGGCUGUCUAUGAAGAUGUUAAUACCUGACAGUGAGCACUGUGAAGCUCAAUAUUAAGCUGCAGAUGCAAACAUUGAGCAAACCUGUAUAAUGACAUAGACUAGAAAACGCACUUUAUUCUGUACAGUGUCUGAUUUUAUAGGUGCUUGUCCCCACAUUACCAUGUCGCUAAGGCCUACCUCUAAGGGAAGAAAAGAUCUAGUAUAUCCAGUUUUCUUUAAAAAAUUAUUGCUGCUGUAUUUGUUACCUUUUAAAAUCCAGGCACCAGGAUAGCUGCAUUUGCAGUUUGUGUUUGGGUAUCUCUCUGUACUCUGGCACUCAAUGCAGACUUUACUUUGCUUAAGACUUCAGGACUUGACACAAUCAAAAAGUAGUUUACACUAUGGAAAACCAUAUCCAAAUUUGUUCUCAGCUAGGGGAGUACACCAAUCUGUAGCUCAAAGCCAGAGCAGUACUAGAAGUUCCUCAUUUUCUUGUAUUUUCUGUAUUGAGUAAAUUUUCUGAACUGAACAGUUAAGGAUGACACCAAACUGUCAGGCUCUAUAACGGAAAAUUAAUUACUAUGGAGGAGAGGCAAAAUAUAACAACAGUGGCAUUACUCCAGUUGUCACUGUCAUACUAUUGUAAUCAUACAGGACAAAACUGACUAUCACCUGACACUUGGGUACAUAAAUAUGAUUCUCCUGGGAUAAAAAAAAAAUACCUCGGGAAGAUUGUGAAGCAUGAAGAAAUGUGUCACCAGGUACCCGGUCUACUGGUUCCAGCUCUUUCCUACAGCAUGCAAAUGACUGUGAUUGUUUGCCACAAGUGUUUUCAUGUCUAAGGCAGAGAAUAUACCUUGCUGUACACCAUCCAUCUGGCACUUAGGGGAAGGAGAGAAGAAGGGAUUUGCUAGGAGCAGACAACUGCAAUAAAUACUGACAAUGAACUGCAGGUCAGCUUGAGGAUACAUGGCUUGGGAGAAUUAAGGACUCUAUUUCCCAAACAGAUGCAAGGGAGAGAGCACAGACACCUACAUCUGUUUCAUCACCUUUCUGAACAUAGUGAUGAGCUGAGAGCAGCUCAGAGUCAAUAUCCAUUCAUUCAUCUGCUUCCUUGCUGGCUCCAGGAAACAAUGAUGCCAAUUACCAUCAACUCUCUCAUAUGGCCUAAAAUGAACUCAAUUCACUUUGGCCAAACAGCUGCAAAACUGUGGUCUCAGUCAAGGAGGUUCAUGUGCAGAAUGAUCUGCCAAGAGUGAUUAGAUGGAGCACAACUAUUUUGCUAAAACUUCCUCAGGAUAACAACCAUGUCUAAAACAGAACAUGCCAAAGGCAAGCUUUCAAAAGGAAAUUACUAAAGAAGUAGGAAAUUAUAAAGAACAGAUGUCACAAAAUGCAUCAGAGUACUCUACACUUUAACCUAUCUGCUUCCCAUGAAAUUCUGCAGCCAUAAGCAUUAGAAACAUUAGCUAUAUGACAAUCAAGCUCCAAAGAUAUCAGUAAGUAGCAAGGUCUCCAUAUUCUGCUUACAACUAAGAGAUCAUUCAUCUAACGGGAUCUACAACAAACUCAUUUUUUCUUCUGCAUGAGGGUGCAGAGAUUUCAUAUAUACAUACAUAUAAAUGGAUCAGGCAUCUACACAUAGCAUGUGACUAUUCUGUUUAAUUCUUAACUUUACAAGGAACCAGAAAUUCUUAUGUUCUUUUCCUGUGCAUGAAGAUAUCUUUGAAAGGCCACUGCAGUAGGGCUUUUUUAACUUUCAGUCAAAAAUAUGAAGAUGCCACAGAAUCACAGAAUAGUUAAGGUUGGAAGACAUCUCCAGAAAUCAUCUGUUCUGACCCUCCUGCUCAAGCCGGGCCAUCUACAGCCAGUUACUGAGGACCAUGUCCAGAUAACUUUUUAGUAUCAGCUGGAAUAGAGAUUCCACAGCCUGAUAGCCACCCUCACAGUGAAAGGGUGCUUCAUACUGUUCAGAGGGAACAUUCUGUGUUGCAGUGUAUGCCCAUUGCCUCUGGUCCUGUCACUGGCUACCAUCAGAAAGAGCCUGGCUCCAUCCCCUUUGCACCCUCCCUUCAGGUCCUUUAGAUUUAUUUCUAAUAUAAACUUCCUCCUCAAGCCUUCUUUUCUCCAGACUGAACAGUCCCAGCUCUUGCCAAACUUUUCUCACACGAGAGAUUCUCCAGUCUCUUAAUCAUCUUCAUAAUCUUUCACUGGGCACUCUCCACUAUGUCUGUGUCUCUCUUGUACUGGGAAGGCCAGAACUGGAUAGAACUCCAGAAAGGGCUUCAGCAGUGCUGAACAGAGGGGAAGGGUCACUCUUGAGCUGCUGGCAACAGUGCUAAUGCAGCCCAGGACACCAUGAGCUGCCCUCGCCACAAGGACACAUUGCUGGCUCAUGUCCAACCUCGUAUCCACCAAAGCCUCCAGGGCCUUUUCUACUGAGCUGUUUCUAACUAGGACACAAUAUAAAAAAUAUGGAAUGUUUUCCCAAAAGACCCUCCAGUGCUCACAGAUCUUGCAGUAUCCAUAAAGAUUUUAAGUCAGAAGCAACUUUGCCUUACAGGUACCUAUAACUCUGUGAGCCUGGUUGGAUUCUUAUAGUCAGGCACCAACCUUAUCACCUAGCACUGGAAUAAACAGACGUUAAAGUGGUGUUUGCUGCAUUCCACAGUCCUCUAACCCAGAGAAAGCACUCAUCCCACCUGCUGACUCCAGCCUUAUUCAAGGGCCUUCUCAAGUCAUAUUCAUGGUAAUUUCUAAAAAGCAAGAAACCAUGUUCCAGGCUGGAAUAAACCUGUUUAGCGAAUGUGAAAGAGGACAGUGAAGUGAGUCACAUUUUUAUUGCCAGAUGUACAAAUGAAUUAGUAAGUUCAUUGGACAAUUAAGGUUCCCCAUCUCAUGUAUCCACUGAGAGGAUUUCUACUGCAAGGAGAAAGUGCUUUCUGGAACACUUAAAAAUUUUACCAAAGAGAAGUGAUUACAGAGUAAAUCUAAAUUUUAUUUAGUGUCUUAGAACAUGAUCUUAAAUGUCAUUAGAAAACAGCUUAUUAACAGCUUAACAGUAAAUCUGCUUAUUCACAGGUAUGAUCAGGUAUCAUUGUCUGGCUUCCUUACCCUCCAGACGUAAUAUUUUGCCACAAAUGCAUUAGCAUUUCCCUAGACUUCACUGUCACACAGAAGCCUGCUCCAAUCUUUUUGAACCAUGAGGGAUAGACAAGGCAACAGACUCACAGUAUUGAUCAAUUGUUAGUGAUGUAACACCCAAAAAAUAAGAUAACCUGAAAAAAUGGAUAAUUACUUCCUUCAAUAGUUUUGUAUCUCACUAUGGUUUAGUAUACAACAGCUGUAAACUGCCCUUCCAUUACUGUAGCUCUUUAUGCAUUUUUAAUACCAAAUACAGUUUGUGGGCCAGGAAAUUUGAAGAAACUUGGCACGUCUCAAGAGUGCCUCUUAAAACAUUUUAACAGUGUGCUAAUUGAAAACUCUGAAGACUCUGUUUCCUAAAACACGUUGGCUAAUGUUUCAAAUGGAAAUCUAAUUACCAUGAUUCAUGGUUAUUUUCAUACUAGACUUACAAGGUUUUCAGAACAGAAAGAAGUGCUAGUAACAUGUAGCUCAUACUUUAUCAGAGAAUAUAUCUAUUUAAAACAGCAUUAAAAGUACACCAACACAAUUACUCACACUUGUAGAGUAGUCUCAAAUGCUGACCUUGAGCCACAUUUGGGAAAGGAAAAUAUGUUGGAGGAAAGGAACAGCCAUAUAGUAUAGAACAAACACACUGUUAAUCAAAGACCACUAUACUGUUACGUAAAAUUGUAAGAAUCUUUGGCUUGAUUAUGAUGUGAAGAAGGACUACAAUAAUCCCCCGUUAAUCUCUGGCUGUCUAGAGACACAGUGAAGGAUGGGGCAAAAGAGGCUUACUCUUUUCAAUGGGAGCAAUAAAAUUCUUCAAAUGAUAUAAAGCAUUCUAAGCAAUCAAAGCAUUAUAUAAAAUUACAAGGCCUUUUAUCUGGCCUUCUGUAGCACAACAACAAAAAAGUAUUAUUAGACAGUAAAAACUCAAACAUUAAAGGAAAAUCUCUCCAAUUUUUAAAGUAUAUUUUCAUGAGAUGUAACCACAGAAGAUUUGGCCCUAUUUGGUAAGUUUAAUCAGUCAAGUAAUUACAGCUUUGUUUGUACUGCCCUUGCACACAGUGGCUGGGGAUGAAAUGCCUCAGAAAGUAACGUCAUAGGAGAGCUCCAAAAAAAUCGAACAAAACCAACUAGUUGUAACUGAUUUGGACUUUUUCAAUAACUUUCCAAAUAUUUCUACUCAAUAGCAUCCUAUAUAAUAAGAAUAUCAGGGCAUUUUCAGACUGAUUCUAUCAAAGUUUUGAACAGUCUGGACCAUGUGCAAGACGAACAAGUCUUCUUCACUAGCAGAAAUGCUUCUGGAGUGUCUGUGAUCAUCCUUUCUGCACAAGUGCAAGCUUACUUUUCCUCACUACAUCUUGACUCACACUGGAUCUUGACCAAAAUUUAUAGUGAAAAUUUCUUCCCUCCAAAAAAUGAACUGGCAAAUGAUUUGCUUUCCUCUUCAUUUUUCAAAAUGAUUAUGCAUGUAAUGUAACAGGUGGAACAACCACAAAGUACUGCGUAACAGCACUUUUACUGAUUAAAAAACUCAUGCCAUGCAUCUUGAAAUUACUGAAAGAAAUUUCACUUUAGUUCAUUUGCAUCCUCCAUUUUUUUUCAAAAAACUGAAGAUAUUUCUAGAAGUUUUCAGUGAUUUGCAUGUCUGUACUUCAAUUUUAGCAAACUUCAACAACAUCUGCAAGGGGGUUACAAGCGUUUUGUUUUUUUUUUUUGACUAAGGUGAUUUCACCUCCAUCACAACUCCCAAAUUCUCUUUUGACCUUCUUAAGUUUUUUCUUUUUCUUUUCUUUUUAAAUUCAACUGACAAAUUAUCUAUUUUCAGUAUUUUCAUGCAAAACAAAGUCCAGCCUAUUGUCAGAAGUGCAAGGUAUAUUCAGUAAACAUUAAUUUUCUAAGAGUCAUGCUCUCUCUCUUGUGGCCAGGUCCCAUGGCUCAGUGUAAAACGCACUGCAGCAGUUGUUGACUCUGUAAGCGCUGAAUCAGUGACAGCUGUAUGUGAAAAUACACUUAUGAGAAUGUUACUAUUCUGUGGAGAAGAGGAAUGCUUUGAAACUCAUCUCUCAUGUAGUGACUCACUGACAACAAUUCAGGCUUUGUUUGUUCCUCUGUAGCAAAUGGAAAGGCCAGACUUAUCACAAGUGUCAUCAUGCACUGGCAACCGCUGCUGAAGCUCUUGAUGGACAUAAAGUGCCCUCGGCCUUUUUUUUUGCACAAGACCUACUUCUGAAGAUGGGGAAAAAAUACACUAAUAACUGUGAUGUGGGCAUAGCUCAAUAAAAAUGCUUUUACCCAGAAGCCUAGGAUGGAAGUUAUGCCUGGGCAAGCAAAAUGUAAGAUUCUGGGAUCUGGGAUCAGCAAGACAAGGGACAGGCUGGAGCAAGAUGGAAUGCUCCUCACACAUGGUACUACUAUUAAACUGCCAGUGGCAGCCUGAACAGGAAAAGAGCAGGAAGAAAUGAGUUGCUUACACAAGAGUGAUGGCUGAGUUGAGUGUACAGGAGAAAUGGCACCAGAAGGAAAACAUGAAGAACAUGAGAGUCUAAGCGUAAAAGAAGUGUGUAAGUCAGCCUUUCUUUCCCCACUCCUCAGUAAGGACAGCUGUCUCUCCAAACUCAAUUACUUUGGCCAGGAACACCAACAUUUUAAUUAUCAGGUCAAGGCAAAACAGACCACAUGCCAAUCUAAGGGCUUCUACCCUCCAUCAAACAGCACUCAGUGCAGAGAUGCCCUGGCUACAGGUUUGGAAACCCCAAACCAUUAAGCUCCUGUGGCAGGCUGAAUUCAUCAACUGAGAACUUGGCAGCAAACAAGCUCCGGGGUAUGCCAGCCUGGUUCUGCUGCAGCUAGGUACAAGCUGGUGCAAGUCUCCUUGACUCCCAAGUACACAGUGAUCUCACAACAAACACGUGAGACCACUUGUCCCCUCACAAUAAUCGUACAAAGCCAGCAAUGUUACAACUUUUUUUUACAUUUUCAAAUUAUUUACUUCCCAAUGUACAGAAAAGUACUGUAGACAGAUGGAAAGAAAACUAAAAGUUCAAAUGUGCUAAUUUAUUUGCCAAUAGGUUUGUAAUGAAGCAUGACAGAGCACAUACCAGACAUGAACUGUGUUUGCUGUGCCACAAAAUCUAGGAUUGCCAGUUAUCACCUGCUUCAUUACCCUGCAUAUUACAACCAUGUGAUGUGACAUUCAAGAUCAGAGAGCUCAGAUCAAAAGAGGUCAAUUUUAAGUCAUAUGGCACAGCUGUAAAUACAAGCUAUUUAAAUGGUAUGCAGGCAAUGUUUAGAUUUGAGAUUCCUUAUGCUGCUGCUCUCAUGCCUGACUUGUCUGAUGGCCUGCAAUAGCUGUCCUGUCUCUUGAAAUUAUUUUCCAUAUAUUUUUAAAUGCAGCUACGUGAUAAAUAUGUUCCAAAAGACAAGCUUCAGUUUCCUGAAACUAUUGUUAUUGAUGUUGCUUGCUCACCAGCUUUCCAUAAAUUGUUACCUGAUGGAUGCCUGUUUGGAGUGUAUCACAGGAGCAGCAUCUUGGAAUAAUGAGGCAAAACUAGGCAUACACUUUAAGAAUAAGAAAAAAUGGCCAUAUUUGUAGGUAAUGUAAUCUAUUACAUCACUCUUCUGAGUGAAAUCUCUCUCUUUUCCUUCAAAAUACUGCAGAAAGAGGAAACAUUAUUAAACCCCUGAAAUGUGGGCUAUUAAAAUAUAUUCUUGGCGACACGAGAUAUGAAGAAAUACACACUUCCAGAAUUUUUGAAGGAAAGCAACACUCAAAAAAUAGGUAUUUGAAGCUGUCAAUUAUCCUAUUGACAGGUGCAUUCAGCUGUAUCAAUUACCAGUGAUAGCUUUAGUGUUCCAGUGCCACAGAAUUCAUUAGGCACAUUAAACAAUGAUCACUUGCUUUCUGGAGCAUUUACAUUGCUAAUAUAAAAUCGCUCUUCCCUAUAGGUUGCUGUCAUAAUAGACAAGUUUCUUAUCUAGUGCUAAAUCCAGGCAAGCAGAUGCAGCAUAGCAAACUCCAUUAGGGCAGAGUUAAACCGAAAGCCAAAAUGCACAUUAUUUUUAGCACUAUUAAACUGGACUCUGUUAGAGUGAAGGGCAAUGGAAAACAAAACACACCAACAGUUCACACAAAGUGCUGUACGGAUAGUCUAAGCAAAAAUGUAAACAUUGCCCAGAGUCCCAGAAAAGACAUACCAUAGUCAUUGUGUUUAAUGAAAUUUAUCUCUAACAAUGUUCGUGAGCAGGAUGUUCUUACCAUCAGGUUAUGGCCAGCUCUGUGCUGGACAUGGCUAAGCAUAAGGUUUGGCAAAAAAUGCCCAAACCUAACACUUCAGAAUGCCUACAACUGAACCAAGGCUGCGUUUCCUAUUGCUGUUUUAAGUGGGUCUGCAUGUUUUUAUUACUCUACUGAGGAUUACUGCCUAUUACACACAGCAUCUUCCUUUGUUACAAAGACCAUUUUGGAUUUGCAGAGCAUGUCUGUCAUUUAAGAUAAUUGCGUAAUUUGGUUAAAGAAAAUCUCAAUAUUAUUUGAUGAAUCUUACCCUAUGCAGCUUGACAGCAUGUAUUAGAAUUAACUGGUAUUUUCCUUUGCAAACACAUAUGUUGACGACAAAGAAGUAAAUACUUAUGGAUAUCAGCCACUAUGCAUCUGCAAAGCUCUAUGCCCCAAAAUAACUGGACAUGCUCCAUACACCUGUAGGUGUUAGUAGAACCAGCAUGGUGUUCAAACUUCUCAACUAUCUCUAGCUACUACAGUAGUGAUGAAUACAGAUGUGAUUCCUAAAUUUCCUAUCCAUUGGUUGAGUCACAGAGUUUAAUCUUUGUCUUAUAUUUUGAACUCAAAGUAAAAUUAUCUGUUCAAGGCAUCAUGAAUGUAACAUUUCUACGGGCAUGCCUACACCACUGAAAUGAACAUGGACCAUUGUCUCCUCUGUUUAUGCAUAGGAGAAACUCACAUAAAGCUUUCAGAUCUUAUCACUGGUAACAUACAAAUUGAUCUGUUGCUCAUUUCAAAAGCAAGAUUAUACUGUGAUGAUCUCUUCCUGAGCAACAACAUUACUAUAUUUCUCGUGUAGUUAGUAUCCUACAAACACAUGAAGCAGAAGGUGUUGCACGGAAUUUCCCAUGCUACACUGAAAACAGAACCGGCUCCUUAUGGAACAGGAUGCCUCAAGCCUGAUACAGUACUUAACCAGCCUGGGCUAUGACCUCAGAUGUGUGUGCUUCCCAGCCCACCCCAAGGCUCACUAGAAAUUUAUAUCCACAGCUUUUUCUUUAUGUUACAUUUUUUCUUGCAUGGUGUUUGUCUGCUAAAAUCAUUAUCGUUCUAAAAUGCAAACACCAAGCUAGCCAGUCACUGAAAAAGCUGACAGUUAAAAAAAGCGCAUUGAUAUGCUUGAAGGUCUUAUUCCUGAAUUCAGAGUCAGGUAAGAGAGCUUGAGGGUUAUGGAGGGUUUCACUGAAGCAGAGGUUUUAUGGGAGCACAGGUCGACUGGACAGAUGCCUGAAUUGUUUCUUGUAUAGCUGUUCCUACAAACAGCCACUUCACUAGGGCCAGAUUUGCCAGUCUUGAGUAAAGCACUUAGCAGUGAAACAGCUACCCUUUGUAGCACUGAGUAUUUUCUUUUGAUUUGCACUUGAUAAAAAUAGGCCCUUAAAUGCCAGUUACAGGUAUCAAAACUUUAGCUAUAAAUUUUUUUUUCAAUUAUGAAAAUUCUGAAAUAAAACAAAAAAAAUUAUUGUAUGCUGGAACUACCAGAAUACUAAAGAGAAACCAGAAACAUUUAAAACAGCAGCUGAAUUUUAGAAAUAUAUUCAUUUAAGUGACACUAUGUAGCUGCAAACAAAAGCAAAAUUUAUACUUCCUUUCCGUGUUCCUGCCCCAUCAGAAGAUACUGGCUUCCUUGGCAACUGGACAAAAUACUUUCAAGUAUGGAGUGGAAAUUUCUGGGCACGGUUUUAGUUAUAUUUACAUCACCUUGACAGUUUGGCACAAGACUACACUAUUGAGAGAUUUACAAGAUGCAAGAACUUGCACUGUCAGUCAGAUAAUCCCUGCUAAAGACCCACUGAACGAAAUUCUACACCACAAAUAACAUUAUAAAAUAAUAAAACAACUUUGAAGCAAUGCAAGGAGAAGCGGAACAAUUCAAAGCUAAGCUGUGUCUCCCGUUCCUAACUUCCUCUGCUGUGCCAGUAAAUCACCACAUGCACAUACACUGACCAGCAAAUACCAGGACACAGUGCUGCCAAAAGGGGCAUGGUUUUAUAAGAUAAAAGAAUGAAAGAGCGUCUAAAGAAGAUUAGUUUUGCACACCUGCUGAGUAGAUUAGAAUGAAUUAUAUUCAGGUAGAUUUAGUUGUGAUUCUAUGAACGUAUUUCUGAGGAGACAAGUAGAAUACCUUGUGUGCCAAAUGUUUGCACAGCAUGUCUUGCUAUGAUCAAAUUACAGACUGCAGAAAAUUGUUUAUAAUGGAAAUCCUGACAGAACCAUGUCUGUUACGAGAGCUGGUACACCACAUAUCCUCCCAGAGUAUAGUUAUGUAUCUCUGAAAACGAGAUGUGCAAUAACAGAAGCUGUGCAGCUGCUGGUCUGUUUGUUUGUAAAGAUCAAACUACGGUAACAAAAAUUGCGUUCUGUGCACCAAAAAAAGCAGGCUGCUGCUGAUCCAAAUCCCUGGUCAAAGGUCCUUAUGUCUUGAAACACUUAGUGUGGAUGUGCACAACAUGAUACACACCCACUUCUGUAGGUUUUGCUCCCAGCAACUCCCAGCCCCUUGGAGCUGAAUCAAUACCACUACCAUGUGGCUGCCUGUAAAUCAUAAGGAAGAAGUGCUGCUUUGCAGACAGAUAGACUAAGAGGGCAUGGUAUUAGGAGGCAUAGCUGGGACAGCAAAGAUGGUUACUUAAUUUCCGAUAAUAAAGGAAAUUUCAAAAAUACAGGAAAAUCUAUGUAUAUUUAAAUAAAUUAAUUAAUUAAGAAAGAUAUAUCAAAUAAGAGAAAAAGCACAUAUUUCAAUUAUUACAUCCUUGCAGGCUUUUCUGAGUUAGGGUUUUUUGAACAUUCUCAAAGCCUACUGACUAAUCUAAAAAGUAACAAUGAAGGUGACUUAUUUUGCAUAGGUGAGAACUGGGCAUGAAUCGGGGGAAAAAAUAGGGUUUUUUAACUGAGAGACAAGUGGAAUACAAAACUGGACCUGCCAGUUUUGAAUGGAGGACUGAUUAAUGGUUUCUGAGGGGCUGUCUAUCUCUUUGUACUGUACUCACCUCUUCAUUAUUUUUGGCACAUGUUUUUGGGCUUAAAAACUUUAAAAACACAUAGUCCCUUUUUCUGUGUGCGCACAGCUUUCACUUAAUGAAUGACAAUUUGGUGAACACAUAAUCAAAAUUAAAUUAUUACCCAGUUACAACUAUGCUGUGUAUAUUUUUGUUCAGUCUUUUGUUCAUGCAGAUUCUGUCAAAAAUUGGAGCCCACACUGAAAACUUACCAAGUAGUUAGAGUUGCAUGGAAACUGUGCAGUGACUGACUAUUCUUUUCAACAGCAUUAAGUCUUGUAAAGCCUAAUACAACUUACUGAAAGACUUCACUUUUUCUGUUGAACUGGACAUACUAUAAAUCAGAGAAAAGUCUUAACUGAACAUGUUGCAAAGAUAUUCUUGCCAAAGAUUGUCUCUUGCCCUGGAAAUGCAUCCACUUUUGGAAUAGAACCCAAAAUACAUUUAGAAAGAAAAUAAUGCAUAAGGAAUGCAUAAGGAAAAUAAUACAUAAGGAAUGGGACCGAUGUGACUGGCUUUUUUAGAAAGAGGUCGUGAUAAAAGACACCUUUUCCCAACAAAACGUGAAAGACAAAGAAAGAAAGGAGAUUUUUGAGGCAUCCUGCAGAAACCUGCGGAGAUACCUGCGCCAGGAGAGUGCAGAGGUUUCCCCGCAGGGCUUGCCUGGUAUCAGGAAGGAACACACUCAGCGGGAGGAACUCGACGGCGGCUGCUCCCCGCGGAAAACCGAGCGGCGCGGCGCCGCCGCCAGCAGCGGCACCCCGAGAUGCCGCCGCCCCGCCGAGGGCUGCGGCAGCGCCGGGCGGAAAGCUUGUAGGCUGUGCAUCGCUCCCGUCGUUGCUUACCAUUACUGGGUACCACUCGAAGAGCUCGGCUCUGGCUGACGUACUCCCUGUCAGGUGUUUGUGCGCUGUAACAGUAAGAUGCCCACUCAAACACAUCUGCAGAGGACGAAGGGGCUCCUACCGAAGAGCUUCCGUGUUACCACAGCUUGCCAGUCUGUCCUUCCCUUCUACUAAACCUGACCUUCAGAGGACCAUGGCAGGAUUAACUGCAACGUCAGAGAAGGAGACGAGCAGCGACUAAAGUCUGAGCUUUUCCAAAUUCUCUGCACAGCUACAGAUACUGUCCUCUCCAGUGUUUGCUUUGAAAUUCUGGAAAAUACACUUAAUAAAAAACCCUCUCUGCAUGCCCAGGCACAUCCAAAUUUUCCACUUGUUCUCAGACAUUGGACACCAGUGCUGUUCUCAGUUGGAAAAGGAUAUCAGGACUGGAAAAGGAAAUGAGGUCUUGUAGUACCUUUUAGUGUUCAAACUUCAGUCUUCUCAUAUACAUGUGUUAAUAUUAUUUUAUGCUUUAUAUGCUUUAAUGGAACUAUAAUCAUACAUGACACUUUACAAGUCUACUCAGGCAGAAGUCCUGGCAUCUUUUUCUUUUUAUAUUUAUCUUCAAUAAGAAAAAUACAAAUAAUUUCAGCUGAGCUCAUCUAAUUUAACUUUGCUUUGGUAUAUCCAUAUUUCUUAAGUCCUCUGCCCAUUGUGUCCUGUGAUUCACAAUUUCAGAUGAUUCUGAACUUGCCUAUGAGCCAGUCUCUGCAGCUGCUAUCUUCUCCAUUCUCUGGAAGUAUGUCAUGCUGUAGGAAUACUGCCAUUGGAAAGGUAGAAGGUACUAGCGGCCAGUGGCUGUGCUGGACGUUUCUGCUCCCAUAUGGUUUACCAUUUGAGGGUGGGCUAAGAGAAGAAAUGUACCCAUGGGAUGAGCAGGAAAAACUCCUGGCAGUAUAACUUCAUUUUUCUGGUUGCUAUCUGGUUGUAUUCUUAGCAGGAAACUGCAACUGCAGCUGAAGCAUGGGAAAAGCUCUUCUACUGCUGUCUCUGGCAUGAGCCACGUGUUUACCAGCAAAGCAGUUACACCUGUGUGCUUUGGGAUGGCUCAGAGAGAAAAUUCAUUCACAUUCUGUUGAAGUGAUUCUGAAUAACACUUUGGAAUGCCUUGCUCUGCACAGCCCGACAUGGUUUACUCCUGACAAAAUGCACAUGUUUGUCAUGUUGUUUCAACUUAUUGUGUCUCAAUUCUGUGUAUUUACUCUUCUGUGCACUGAAGUUGCAUCUACCAGUUGAUGUUCUGAAAACUACACAUGGAGAUCCAUGGAGCUCUGCACUGCUUCUAGUUUGCUGAGAGUGGGUGACUGAUCUUCAGGAGCACAUGACUUUGUGAAUGGAAAUUGCAGUCAGGCCACUGCUGGGUCACCUGCUGAGGCUCAGUGAAGGGAAUCCUGCUGCGACUGACCUUGGCAGGAUUGGCUGCUGCUGAGGGUUGUGAUACACAGUCACGACAACAGACAGGAGGGGUUGAUCUGUUUUAGAUGCCAAGUCAGCAUUUGCUGUAUGUAAGUAUAUAUAUGAGAUACAUGUGUAUCUGUGAGUAGUGCCGUACUUAUAGAUAAGAAUUUAGUUAGUGGCUGAACCAAGCAAUCCUUAAAAAUAUUCAAUCAUUCUGUAAUAUGCAGGGUUCUCUUAGUAGGGAAAAGACCAGGAGGCCAGUCUCAGGAAAGUUUAAGCUGGGCAUGAAGGCACUGCUCAGUAAAGCUGACUCUUUGCAAGGGGCGACAAAGAGACUAAAGGAACCCUCUCUUACAUUGAAAGUACUCUCUUACAUUAAAAGAAUCAGGCUACUUUUUAUAAUUAUGGUAUUAUUUUACUAAGAUUAUUAUUUUCAGACUUUGUUUAAUUGUUUAAUUCCCUGUAAAGGAAAGCCAGCUGCUUGAAUGAGGUGGGUUCUUGCCAUACAUCACCAUGGUUUAAUGGAGAAGAGUAAAAGGAACAGUCAAGAAUAAUACCUGCAUAUGAAAUUUCUAUGAUCUGUCACUUUGUGAAAUCUCUGCUGGCACCAGCAAACUCUGCAACUUCCUCUUUUACAACUGCUCUCACAUCUGAGUUCUAUGAUUAUUUUUUUUUAAACCAGACAGUUAGCAGAUUAUUGGAAAUGGCUGAUUCAUCAUCCCUAGUGGAAUUUAAAAUACAUGUAGAUGCAGCACUUAGGGACAUGGUUUAGUCAAGGACCUGGCAGUGUUAUGUUAGUGGUUGGAUGAUCUUAAAAGUGUUUUCCAACCCCAACCAUUCUAUUAUUCUGUGAUUCUGUGACUGAACUGUACAGUAUCUAAACAUUGACUACAAGGCUGAGAAUGGGCCUGCUGGCCUGGCAAUGGUCCCUGAAGGCCACUGGAUAUUGCUUUUAGCUGCAAAUUCUGUCCUUUUCUGUCAAUGGAGGGUGCUCAAGUCACUGAUUUUGCAGUUGGUAUAAGUGAUCAGGAAUGUCACAAGAAUACCCAAGCUUGAUCAAUCCUAGGGAAUGCAGUUCUACAAGAGUCCCUUCUGCAGCUUCACACUGCAGGCUGGUCAGCCUUGUGGAGAAAAGGAAGCCAAUAGGAAAGAGCUGGAGUAGCACCAUCCUUGGCAAAGCAGGAGAGCCAAAGUGAGAUGAGCAAUCUCAUAGCCAUGAGAACUACAGAUGAAAAAGUGGUAGUAAAAAGUAGCUUUUCCACAUGCACCCAUGUAAGGGAGUUUCUUGGAAUAAGUUCAAGCUACAGUACCUUGCUUCACUAGCAAGAGACAGGAACCACUGCAAGAGAAGACCUUUGCAAGGCAAAGCUGAGUGCUAGAAUUCCCCAGAUAACUCUGCUAGAGAUGAGCAGUAAGGAAACAAACUCAGGAAGAAGAAGGGAGAAAUAUUACCAUAUUUUGGGUUUUGGGGAUCAAUAUUCAAGGAGAUUUUGGUUCCUGGACAAACCCACAGAACUUCUCAAGAUUCAGUCAUUUUAGUGAAUAUUUCAGAUACUCAGGUGAGAACAAAAACAAAUGCUUCAAUUAAAGCUGUCCUGUGAGUGUCCUGUUACUGAGGGUUAGUUAUAUCCGGAUGAAAAAACAGCCUUUGCUGUUCAACAUGAAAAGAUGAGUUUAAAUAAGUACAGACACCUGGUGUGACUCUUGGGGUCCCCUGUGCAGGGUCAGGAACUGGACUCCAUGGUCCUUGUGGGUCACUUCUAACUCACCAUAUUAUGUGAUUCUGUGAAAUAUAGAAUAAGGACUACUUGCAAAAAUAUAGCCUAAAUAUUAAUUCCCACACAACUAUAUUUUUAAUUUUAAAAGGGAUUCACAGUACUCUGAAACAAGAUGUACUAGAGCAGGCAGUUAUACAAUGAUUACCAGUGUAACUCUAGCUUGUAAAUUGCAAAGUUUUCCCAUGAAGACAAAAUUCCGAGAAAAUCCAGAUGGUCAUAGGAUAGAGUAGAAGGACAGCAUAUAUUUUGAACUGAAGAGGUUUAUCAUUUACUUUGCAUGAAGCUAGAGCUAGGAUUUGGUUUAGGGCCAGGGAAAUCAAACACCUCAGAGCUGAAGUGUCAGCAACGCCUUGCUCAGCCCAAGGACCUGGGAUGGCAGCUGGGCUUAGGAAAAGCUGUAAUUCAGUGCACAUCUGGAAUCUUAAACAGGUCUUAUUCCCUACAAAGGUACCUAGUUUAAAGUCACAGUCUGGGUUAUUUAUCUGAGGACCACAUUGGAGCAGUGUCCAAUUGGCCAAAGUAAACUGUUCUUUCUAAUAUAUACUACCUGUAUUCUGCUGCAAAUUUUAGCUUUGAAAAUAGAGAAGUAUUUUUUUUUGCUCAAAAAGCAUUAAUGUGCCAUUAUCCUCUUUGGACAUUGUAGAAUGAAUCAGGUAAGAGAAGAAAUUUUAAACAAAAAUUUGUAAUCCAGAAAUAACAAAACACCAUGGACAGUAAUUUGUACCAGAUGCUACAGUAUACAUGUGAAAGUAAAUACAAUUAGGCCUAUAACAUCAAAUAUGAGUAAAUUAACAUCACUGAUUGUUUUAAAAUAGGUAACUCUUUCUUAUUGUCAUGAACAAAAGCCAUUGACAACUGCAGAAAACCUUUUCUACUGAAGGUGUCCCUUUUGUUUAUUGGUUCUGUGCCUUUAACAAUACACUUUUAAGAUUUCUUUGAGAUAUCAGCUGCAGAAGAAGCAGGAGAAUGCCCAGCUGUUCAAAAGCUAUUUCAUGAUACAGAGGACUGUGCAAUGAAAAAAAUUAGCGUUGCCAUGGCAAAAUAUUAUUUGUGUAUAAAUAAAUGCCCUGCAGACAGUUCCUUCCUCAGAUGACAUUACUUUUGCAGAACUUUGUAGAAAACAGAGG